AUGACAAAACUAAUGGAUCUUGAGCUCGAAGAAGUAAAUGUUCAGCUCCCUCCCAUGGAUGACGUAUUAUCUUCAUGUCUUAGGCUGCUACAGACAAAGGAAACAUUAGCUUUUCCUGUCCGGGAUAUGCUUGUGACUAUCAGCUCACAGAAUGACGGCCAAAACCGUGUGAAGGUGCUUACAUAUUUGAUUGAUCAUCUGAAGAAAUGUCUUGUGGCAUCUGAUCCUUUAAAGAACACUGCAUUAUCUGCCUUUUUCCAUGUUCUUGCUUUGAUACUCCAUGGAGAUACCACUGCUCGUGAAAUUGCCUCAAAGGCUGGUCUUGUCAAGGUUGUUUUGAGUCUGCUGUGCAGCUGGGAGUUUGAACCAAGGGUCAAACAACCAAGGUUCCCAAUUGGGUUACUUACUGUUUCCUUUUUUCUUGACAGAAUGCUCCAGUUGGAACCCAAGUUGCCAGAUGUUACUGAGCUUGAUGUUCUCAAAAAGGAUAAUUCACCUACACAAACAUCUGUUGUGAUUGAUGACAGCAAGAAGAAGGAUUCAGAAUCUUCCUCAAGUGUAGGGGUUAUUGGACCUGGAGGACCAGGAGCAACUUCUGAGGAUCUGCUGUAA
rnacentral:rRNA from 1 species